rnacentral:rRNA from 1 species
UACGUAGGGGGCAAGCGUUGUCCGGAAUUAUUGGGCGUAAAGAGCGUGUAGGCGGCCAGAUAAGUCCGCUGUGAAAUCUCGAGGCUCAACUUCGAGCUGUCGGUGGAAACCAUCUGGCUAGAGUCCGGAAGAGGAGAGUGGAAUUCCUGGUGUAGCGGUGAAAUGCGCAGAUAUCAGGAAGAACACCCGUGGCUAAGGCGGCUCUCUGGGACGGUACUGACGCUGAGACGCGAAAGCGUGGGGGAGCGAACAGG